GGACGUGGCUCAAGUGGUAGUGCUCUCGCCUGGCAUGCAUGCGGCCUGGGUUCGGUCCUCAGCACCA
rnacentral:tRNA from 1 species